rnacentral:rRNA from 1 species
UGGCGACCGGCGGCACGGGUGAGUAACACGUAUCCAACCUGCCGAUGACUCGGGGAUAGCCUUUCGAAAGAAAGAUUAAUACCCGAUGGCAUAGUUCUUCCGCAUGGUGGAACUAUUAAAGAAUUUCGGUCAUCGAUGGGGAUGCGUUCCAUUAGGUUGUUGGCGGGGUAACGGCCCACCAAGCCUUCGAUGGAUAGGGGUUCUGAGAGGAAGGUCCCCCACAUUGGAACUGAGACACGGUCCAAACUCCUACGGGAGGCAGCAUG